AAGUCAAGCGCCAUGUCUCGUAUUCUUGAUCAGCUAUAGCUCUGGAGUUUUUGCAGAUUUUCAAAUAAAACUCAGAGAUUCCUUGUAUGACUCUCUCAAAUCUCUCUUUUGUGGUAUUUCUGGAUCCUUUCCAAGGCAGUAAUAGUAUAUGCCUUCUCUCAAAGUAUGUGGUAUUUUUGGUAUGAGGCAUAGUGAUAUUGCCUUCUCUCUCACCCUACUCUAAUAAGGUUUUGAUAUCUGGAGCUCAUAGGUGGGAGACAGAUAAUACAUACUUACAAGAAAUUUAUUGCAUAGUCAAACCAUGGAUCCAGAGAAACAAAUCAAUAAGUCAAAUCAAGAUGUGCAUGUGUGGCGAGUGAAUGGUGUAUGGUGAUAACAAUGGUGAAAAUCUAAUUCUACUUUUUCUCUUUUGAGGAGAUACAUACCUUUCUUGCACUUGAAGCUUUUUGAGGGGAAUGAGAUGCUCUAUAUUUUCUUUUUCUUUUCUCUUAGGUGGGUAUCUUGUACCCCUAAUUCUACUGUCGGACACUUAUCCAUUUUUACCUCUCGUCUCACUUUUUCUUUUCUUCGAGGUUCCGGGCACUUGCCCCUUUUUAUUUCCUCUUUUUUUUCAGAGCACUCACCCUCCUAGAAUAAUGUAGCAAGUGGUAGUAACCAAAAUAUCUCGAGCAUUUAUUUCACGGGGAAUAACAAGGAUAGGAAAUGUUUUUGGCUAUUCUCUCCUAGAUAGGAGUAGAAUCAUUUUAGGUGAAUCUGGAGAUGGAAAUGAGUGGAUGUGGAUGCGUACUUCCAGAGUAGAAGUAGCAUGUAUGAGUGAACGUGCAAGUGAAUCUUGAUUUUAACCGCAUGACAAGUUCCUAAGGGUCUACAUAACUUGACCACACUCAAUGCUCAUAAGUAGUAAAAAGUAAAUAUACGGUUCAUAGUCUAAUAAGCAUGUAUAUGUGGCAGUGGUAGGAUUUUAAACUCUCAUCAUAAAGGAACUCAUCAUGCAACAUUUUAAUGAUUUUCAAAGAUAAAAUUCUCCAGAAUUCUAGCAUCUCUAGGAGCAGAUAAACAGCAGCUCAACCUUCCCAUAUUAUAUCCGUUAACGACUUAGACUUUAGAUCAAGUACUCUUCCCACAAGUUUAGGUUUAGAGCAAAUCUUAAUUCAUAAUAGUCAUAUCUAAACUUGAGAGAGAAUUCAAUUUUGAGAACUAGUCAUGGCAGAGCAACUAUUCAUCAUUUCCAUGUGAGAGCUUAUCAUGAGGGUUCAUAGCGAACUUUAUUCAUUUAUUUAUUUAGCAAACUAAGCAUAGAUAUAUAUAUAUAUAAGCAUAAAAUCUUUAUUUGGGUUUUUAUGAUUAUGCAUCUUUUUAUUAUUUGAGUAAAGUAUAAACGCGAGUAGAAACACUUAGCUGGAUAAAUGUGGGUGCUCUCCCCCAAGCUAGAUUUUGACGUAAUUUCUUCUGAUGUAGCUAGCAGGUGGCGGAGGUGUAUUUGAAUGUCGGCAGCACCCUGACAGCGAUUAGGAUGUCCUCCGUCUCCUAGUCUUCUUUGAUCCUUGAAUUCUGUGGAGCUCAAAUAGACAACAAAGCUUUGUGGAACUGGUUAAGUGUUAGCAUAAAAUCUCUUUGCCUUUAUCAUGUUGAGCUUUCUCAAAUAAAUAUUACUCUCUUUGGUA
rnacentral:lncRNA from 1 species